rnacentral:rRNA from 1 species
AGAGUUGAUCAGUGGCUCAGGACGAACGCUGGCGGCACGCUUAACACAUGCAAGUCGAACGGAGUUUAGAGAGCUUGCUUUUAAACUAGUGGCGGACGGGUGAGUAACACGUGAGCAAUCUGCCUUCAGAGGGGGAUAGCAGUUGGAAACGACUGAUAAUACCGCAUGAUAUAGUAGGAUCGCAUGAUCUAACUAUCAAAGAUUUAUCGCUGAAAGAUGAGCUCGCGUCUGAUUAGAUAGUUGGUGAGGUAACGGCUCACCAAGUCGACGAUCAGUAGCCGGACUGAGAGGUUGAACGGCCACAUUGGGACUGAGACACGGCCCAGACUCCUACGGGAGGCAGCAGUGGGGAAUAUUGCACAAUGGGCGCAAGCCUGAUGCAGCGAUGCCGCGUGAGGGAAGAAGGUUUUAGGAUUGUAAACCUCUGUCUUUGGGGACGAUAAUGACGGUACCCAAGGAGGAAGCUCCGGCUAACUACGUGCCAGCCGCCGC